rnacentral:rRNA from 1 species
AGAGUUUGAUCAUGGCUCAGGAUGAACGCUGGCGGCGUGCUUAACACAUGCAAGUCGAACGAAGCACCUUGAUUUGAUUCUUCGGAUGAAGAUCUUGGUGACUGAGUGGCGGACGGGUGAGUAACGCGUGGGUAACCUGCCUCAUACAGGGGGAUAACAGUUAGAAAUGACUGCUAAUACCGCAUAAGACCACAGCACCGNAUGGUGCAGGGGUAAAAACUCCGGUGGUAUGAGAUGGACCCGCGUCUGAUUAGGUAGUUGGUGGGGUAACGGCCUACCAAGCCGACGAUCAAGUAGCCGACCUGAGAGGGUGACCGGCCACAUUGGGACUGAGACACGGCCCAAACUCCUACGGGACGCAGCAU